rnacentral:lncRNA from 1 species
AUUAUUUGAGAAACUAAUGUUAUUACAUGAGUUUCUAGCUAACAAACUAAGUUUAUUGUAUGAAAUGUAACCCAUUCUAGCAUGCCAAAGUUUGAUAUCUUGAGCAAUGCAGCAAAGAGCUUCUUUGUCAAAAACAUAUACUCCAUUUUGAGCACUACCCUGUCCAAUCAGAUCAUUUCUGUGAGGAUCCUGAAAAAGACAAUGUGUUUUAUUCAAAAAAAUCCAUACACCCAUAUCUUCUAUAUCCUAUGUAAAGAAAUCAAAUUUAGUUUAAAAUCUGGAAUAUAGUAUACAUUUUUAAGAGUUAUUGUUGGAGAAAGCAUGAUUUCUCCUAUUUGUUUUAUUUCAAAAAAAAAUCCAUUUGGAAUUACCACUCUUCUAAAAUUAUUAGAAGAUCUUAGAUUAAUAAAGAGUGAUUUAUUACCACUCAUGUGCUGUGAAGCACCACUAUCACAAAUCCAUUUAUCAUUUAAAUAUGUAUUUGAAAAACAAACUAAAUCAGUUUUAAUUUUAUUUUAAAAAAUACCUGAGUUUUUCAUAAACAGGUUUUGCAUGAUUUUGAACUCCUCAUCUGUAAUCGAAUGGAUUGUGGCAGAACUAGCAUGGUCUGUUUUGUAUUUCUUAAAAAAAGAACUCUUAAAUCCAUCUUUAUCAGCAGGGUAUCCAUUCAAAUGAAAACAAUUAUCCUUGGUGUGGCCAAAGAACCAACAAUGGUCACACACUCACACCUAAUUUUCAAAUUCAGUUUAGCCCCUUUUUUGCUAAACUUAUAUUUUUCAGAGUUGAAGGGUUCACUCCUAAUGUUAGGGACCUUCUUAACAGCCAUGGCAUUGUCUAUUGUAUGACUUUCAGAAGUGUAUUUUUUAUAGUCACCUCUCUUUGUUUUUCAUCUGUGAUGACAGUGGAGUAGGCAGAGUCCAUAUUAGGAAUUUCUUUUGUAGCCAAUAUUUCGCUUCUUAUGUUUAGAAAUUCCUCAUUCAAUCCUAGAAGAAAUUUAACUACAUUAUCUUGUUCUAUUUCUUCUUCCCAAAUUUGUAUUGCUCCACAUGUACAUACCCCACAUGUACACCUUUUUUUCUUGCUUAUGUCAUCCAAAGCAUCCCAUGCAGAUUUCAGUUUGAUAUAGUAAUCACUAAUUGCCAUUUUUCUUUGGAAUAAAUUGGUCAAUUCUUGGUCAAUUUAAAAUCUUAAAGGUGUGGCCUUGGUUGUAUCUAAUUUUUAAAAUUUCUCAGGCUUCAUAGGCACUCUCAGAUGACCUAAUUGAUGCAGCUAUAUUAUUUUCACAUGCAUUUAUGAUCCACGAAAAAACAACUCCAUUUACUGUUUCCCAAGCCUCAAACUCAUCUGAGUUUUCGCCCUUUGCCCAGAAAACUUUACCAUUAAUAAACUUUUGCUUCCUCCUGGUCACUAACCAAAGCAUCAUAUCUUUGUACCAGGUAGGAUAAUUUGUUUGACCUUUAAGUAGGUCAUUGAUAAUUUUAUUUGAAGGAUUAUCACUAGAAUGAAGAAAAUAUAUAGAGGACCUAAUGAUGAACACGGUUUCCAAAUCAAAGACCUUUUUUGAGUCUGGAACAGUUUCCAUGUUUGAAAUUUCCAUAUCACUUACCUCUCUUUGAGUCUCCAUAAUCCAGUGAAAUCAGAAUGCGUUGCGGAAGAAAAACGUGAUUAACACUCAGAUUGACCGAAGAUACCAUAUAAAACGAACGGAGACGAGCUUCCUCGACGAACGGCCGGGAAUGGUCACCUCUAUCGUCGGUUGCUUCUGAUUUGGGGAAGAACUGCUACUGGAAUUACAAACAAAAAAAGACGAUCUGGGAAAAUUGCAGAGUUUAAAGACUUAAAG